GGAUGUGAGGGUGAUCUGGCUGUGACAUCUGUCAUCCCAUUGAUUGCCAGGGUUGAUUCAGCUGGUCUGGCUGGCUCUGCGGGUGUCCCCUCCCUCUCUCACCGCUCCAUGUACGUCCCUCCCAAAGUUGCAUGCUUGAUUGAAGAGGAUGACCAUCCUUGAUAGACGAGGACUGGUCUUCAGUCAAGUGUAUACGAGUAGCUGCGCUCCCCUGCUAGAACCUCCAAACAAGCUCUCAAUAUCACUGGGGACCAAUGUAAACUUUAACCUCAGACUGACAGCAAAUAGCUGGAGAGAUUCCAG
ensembl:misc_RNA 7SK 7SK RNA